AAGGCACGGAUCCUGGUGUUCUCCAGCCGUUCUCAGACUUCAGGGCCGACCCGCCCGCGGCGCACUCGGUCCCCUAGUGCCCGGAUUGAAGGCGCGGACCUUCAGGGUGGAACCAGGGAGCUCGGAGAGGCCGCGGCCCGGCCCGGCCCGCGACGCCGGGACCGAAAGGGAGAGAAGGAGCGCCCCCCCCCCGGAGGACGCCCGAGGGAAAGGGGGCAGGCCGGAGCGCAACGCAGCCCACUGCGAGCGCUCGGCUCAGUCACCGGCCCCGGAGGCCAGCCUCGGCUUACCUUUGGCGAGGGCUACGGUGGAGUUCUCGGUGUCGAUGGUGUAGAGGAUGCCCUCGUAGCGGAUCUCCGCCUUAGAAAUGAGACUGAUCUUGCUGCCGAUGUAAGGAGUGCCCCCGCUCAUGGCGCCGCCGCCACUCCGGGCCGCUUGCAGAGAGGCAGAUCCCACGCCGCUGUCGCCGCUCCGCACGUCCGCUCGCUCGCUCCGUCGGCGCCUACAGCAGCCGCCUCAGACCCAACAUGGCGGCGUUGCCGGCUCCGCUACCCUCCCCCAGCCUCCCGCCCUCAAACAGCGGCGCGGCGCGGCGCGGCGGCGGCGGCGGUAGCGGCGGCAGCGCAGGGCAAGCUGGGCGGGCGAGGCCGCACUCUCGCGAGACUUGGACCGCGAUUUGCGACUGUCUGUCUAGUCCAAGUAGUCUCGGCUAUGCCGCUUGUCUGGGCUAUCGCCCGAACGGAGCUUCGGAAUCGGGUGAGUGUGACACAGGAGGAGACCGUGACACACAUCUGUCAGAGGUCCAGAAGACUAUUGCUGUGCGAAGUUGGACACCUGAAGUUUGGUGAGAAGUUGCAGGCAGAAAAUUUGGGAUCGGGCUCUUGAAUCUACCUAAUUUACAGAUUGCAGAAACUCACCAGCUUUUAGUUCUUGGCAACAUAAAUGUGAGUGUUAUCUAUCAUUAUUUUAGAAUCUUUGGAAAAUGCUUUUAGGAUAUUAUUGAAUUAACAUUUGUUUGGGGUUUUGUUAAUUUUUCCUUCACUUUUUUUUU
rnacentral:lncRNA from 1 species